AGGAAAAGGGAGCAGAGAAGCUAUUUCCCCUUUAAAAACAGAGAUGUUUCAUUGCCUGGUUUGUCUCUGAAGUCUAGGCCAAUUGCUGGCCACUAAAGAUAAUAUGACCCAUAUAGGUUAUUUUAAAUUUUCUGCUUAUCAAAUUUAAAAAGCAGUAUGUCAUAUUUUAAAAGGCGAAAGAAACAGAUGAGACAUUAAUGUAUUUCAUUUAAUCCCGAUAUACAAAAAUAUUAUUAUUCAACAUGUAAUCAAUAUAAAUAUUAUUAGCAUUCCUUUUUUCAUAUUAAAUUCUCAAAAUUCCAGUGUAUAUACUCUACUCACACUAGCCAUAUUUCCAGUGCUCAAUAGCCACAGCGUGCUCAUGGCUACUGUACUGUACAGCACAUGUGUAGUUAAUUGCGAUAGUCUCUGUUACUCCUUUCAAAUAUAGACAGACACACAGAGAAAUGGAAAGCAGCUGCUGAAACCAGUCUAGCACAUUCUCAAUCUUACCCUCAUCCAUCCAUUUUAUUCCAUUGCUCUGAGCAUUCAUUGAGCACCUACUGUAUGUGAUGCUCCUUGCCACAUACCUUCCCAAGCUUUCUUUAAGAGUCGGGAGGUUAGAUAGACUCACCCACAUUGCAUUUUUCAAAAUUUUCAUUUGACAAAAAUCACCCAAGACCAGCAGGCUCUAAUCAUCUUUAAGGCGGACACAUGCAGCCAGAUACUGCACACUGCCCAGAGUAAAAUAAAUAAAUAAAUAAAAAUAAAGAUCAAAUGAAUUUCCUCCCCUCCCCACCUGAAAGAUCUGAUGGCACUCAUGCUUGUGGUUUCAGCUGAAGAAUUAUUAAUUUAAAGAGAAAAAAGACAUGCUUUUCAGGGAACUAAUAAUUAAACAGUCCCUUUCUCUUUCAUGUCAGUCUCAGCUAAAACUGUCAUCUAAGCUGGGACUUAGUUUCCCAAAAGAUAACCUUAUUGAUGAUCAAAGGAAGAGACUGGUUCCAUUAGCCAAGUUGCCUAUACCAUGGCCUUCAAAAUAAAGGGGGAAGUGUAUUUUAGAAGGAUCUGAGUAACACACUUUACUCAUAACAUUUUGUAUUAUAUUGCUUGUUGUCUGUUUCAACUUGCCUUCUAUCUGAGUACUUUAUUUUAAGCACUACCAAAGUGGAUGACAUGUCUACAAAAAGAACAGGAGUUGCUGACUGCUUCUAGCAAAUGCAUCUUCAAAAAUAAUGCUUUUGCACUGGAAAUUAGGAUGUGAGCCCACAGGAGAACACAUUCAAGGCUUGAUAUUCAAACCAUAGUGUUACUAAUGUAAAAAGGAGUAAAUCCACCCAAUUUUCUCAUGCAGGACUGGGUCAAUGUGUACAACUAAAAACUUUCAUUUCAUUUCUCUCUUGAUGUUCUAUAUGCUGCCUUUGUCAUCUCAAUUCAAAACAUGCUUCAUAAAGUGAUAGAAAAGAAGACGUG
rnacentral:lncRNA from 1 species